CAGUCGCCACGGGAAUACGAAGGGGGCUAGCGUUGCUCGGAAUGACUGGGCGUAAAGGGCGCGUAGGCGGAUGGCACAGUCAGAUGUGAAAUUCCCGGGCUUAACCUGGGGGCUGCAUUUGAUACGUGUUGUCUAGAGUGAGGAAGAGGGUUGUGGAAUUCCCAGUGUAGAGGUGAAAUUCGUAGAUAUUGGGAAGAACACCGGUGGCGAAGGCGGCAACCUGGUCCUUGACUGACGCUGAGGCGCGAAAGCGUGGGGAGCAAACAGGAUUAGAUACCCCGGUAGUCCCUGUCUCUUAUAC
rnacentral:rRNA from 1 species